AAAAAUUGCUCGUCUCUGUGGAGCUUAAACUUGUCAAAGAAAGUUGUCCAGGAAAACUCAGUUGUUGAUUGUACACACGAGAAAGGAAACUUGUCAAGGAAAACUUUAAACGUUUUGACCGUACACACGAGAAGGUAAACUUGUCAAGGAAAACUUGUUGACCGUGUCAACUUCUACAGAUGUAUCUCUGAUUAUGAUUCUGUAUAAUAGCCUUUACAACUACCUGCCAUUUUGUAUGUAAGUCCAAAUUGAUAGUCUUGAUAUCCUGUAACUGUCUUCUCAAUGAUAUCAACGUAUCCUGUUUAUCGUGAAUAUCUUUUUCCAACAACUGCAUCGCAACCUG